rnacentral:tRNA from 1 species
GCGGGCCUGGUUCGCCGGUGCGGACGCCGAACUCGGCCUGUGGCCGGGCUGGUUCGACGCCGCCGGUCCGCGC